UACAGAGGUCCCGAGCGUUGUUCGGAUUCACUGGGCGUAAAGGGUGCGUAGGUGGCGAGGAAAGUCGGAUGUGAAAGCUCGGAGCUCAACUCCGAAAUGGCAUUGGAAACUACCUUGCUCGAGGGUUGGAGGGGGGACUGGAAUUCUCGGUGUAGCAGUGAAAUGCGUAGAUAUCGAGAGGAACACCAGUGGCGAAGGCGAGUCCCUGGACAACUCCUGACACUGAGGCACGAAAGCUAGGGGGAGCAAACAGG
rnacentral:rRNA from 1 species